rnacentral:misc_RNA from 1 species
AAGAUUCGGCCCUCGGGCCAAACCUCUCCAGCUGUGCGCUUCGGCUGCACGCUGGUUGAACCUCACACACCUGUGAACAUUCCGGUUGUGAGCUGUCUUCUGGCAUCUCACUUCCGCCUUUACAUAAAACCACCAAGUCUAGAAUGUAAAAACUAUAAAGUAA